CUUUACAUAUCGAGUCGAUGGAAUUCCAGUUAUUCAAAAAAUGGAUCUAGAUACUCUUCACUGUUGGUAGUUUCUCUUGAUUAGUUUAGUAGACAGAUUAACGAAAACUAGACGUUAAUGUAUUACCUCUGUAAAUACAAGAGUACUAGCAGAGACAGUUGAUUUGCCGAAAUUGGGAAAAAGAGGACUAAGAUACCAAGGGAACAUGAAAAACUCAUAUCGAAGAUAAACUGAUAACGCGAUGGCAAAAAACGAGAGACGUCGAAAAGUUGUAAAUAAGCGCUCAAAACUCUACAUAAAAACUAAAGAAUGAGUUUUCAAUUAUGAACUUUCAAUUUCUAUGUAGCAACAUUCCAGCAGCGCCUGCAUACGGAGUAUAUAUCUCACAAUUGAUACGAUAUUCCCAGGCUUGUAUUUCCUAUCAUGAUUUUCUUGAUAGAGUGUUGCUGCUCACAAGGAAGCUAUUAAACCAAGAGUUCCAAAUGGUGAAGCUGAAAUCAUCCCUUCGUAAUUUUGCGGACGCCAUCACGAGUUGGUUGACCGUUAUGUAAUAUCCGUUUCACAGAUGAUAGCGAAUAAGUUCCUUAUGUCGUAACUACAAUCCUGUUCUGUUCCCUUCUCACGAAUGUGACCUAGCGAAUAAAACUUAUUACCGGGUUUGUACUAACAUGAGAAACACGACGGUUGCCACAUGUUUAGCAGGAUCUGCUUACCCUUCCGGAGCACCUGAGAUCACCCCAGUUUCUGGUGGGGUUCGUGUUGUUUAUAGUCUUUAUUUUUCUAUGUUGUGUUUUGUGUACUAUUGUUUGUCUGUUUGUCUUUUUCUUUUUUAGGCAUGGCGUUGUCAGUUUAUUUUCGAUUUAUGAGUCCCUCUGGUAUCUUUCGCCCCUCUUUCGACGAUCCCGCCAAAACCUAAGAGUGGUGUCUGGGGCUCCGGAACGCGAUCCUUAUAAAAUACAACCUGUUCUAUUAGAUGGAUCAGAAAAUAUGAGGAUUCAAUAACUGUGAUAUUAUUGAAAAAGGUGCAUCUAAAGUUUUGUAAGUUCAUCCUGAAUCUGAAAUCUUCUACCCACAACUGUAUGAUAUACGAUGAGCUAGGACAUUUUCAACUUAUCAUUGAUGUAAAAUUAAGGAUGAUAUCCUUCUUGUCACGAAAUUGAUAAUGGAAAAACAGUCAAAGUAUUCUUGUGUUAUUUUUCAAAGCUAAAUUGCGUGGUCACUUCCAACAAACAUGGCAUGUGACUAUUCAAAAUUUUCGAAAGCUUUGAAUUACCG
rnacentral:lncRNA from 1 species